AGCCGCCGCGGUAAUACGAAGGGGGCUAGCGUUGUUCGGAUUUACUGGGCGUAAAGCGCACGUAGGCGGAUCCUUAAGUCAGAGGUGAAAUCCCAAGGCUCAACCUUGGAACUGCCUUUGAUACUGGGGAUCUCGAGUUCGGGAGAGGUGAGUGGAAUUCCCAGUGUAGAGGUGAAAUUCGUAGAUAUUCGGAAGAACACCAGUGGCGAAGGCGGCUCACUGGCUCAUUCUAGACGCUGAGGUGCGAAAGCGUGGGGAGCAAACAGGAUUAGAUACCCCCGUAGUCCCUGUCUCUUAUACA
rnacentral:rRNA from 1 species